CCCCCAAUGACUGGAUCAAUUGCCUGGAAGGAAUUUGACAUAUGAGACCAAAAGCUGAGAUGUCCACAGAAGAAGCCGGAACGUAUAUGACUAUUUCAAUAGAAAGGGCGAGUUUGGCAGAGAAAUUAUACAAGCCAUGAGUGUUGGAGAAGAUAAGAAAACUGAUGCAUUGCUGAACAGAGAACUAUUUGGAAGAAAUUGAAGAUUUCAAGGACGCACGGAUUUGAAUUUAACUGGAGGGGCUGAGAGCUGAGGGGAAGAGUGACAUAAAGAAGAGAGAAGUUCAUUAUCCAGCUGAAAAGGAAACCAAUGGCUUUCACAGUCUCCAUGGGAACCGGCCUUUCUUUUGCUGUCAAACCUAUGAUAAGAAACCCUCUCCUUUCUCCCGUUCCAAGGCAGCCCUUUUCAAACCGGGAAGCUCCAGGCAGGAUCAGGGAGGCAGGAGCAGCCGUCCCUCUAGUCCCUGUCUCAGCCCAGCCGCUGGGGUCUGCAUGGGGCUGGGAAAGCCACCCCCUCGUCAGUCCUCUCCGCGAACCCAUCCUCAUCCCAGGUUCCCCUCCCCCUGCCUCUGGCCCUGUCGUCUGGGAGCCCCCGAAGGUGUGA
rnacentral:lncRNA from 1 species